rnacentral:misc_RNA from 1 species
GAAAUGCGAUACUUGGUGUGAAUUGCAGAAUCCCGUGAACCAUCGAGUCUUUGAACGCAAGUUGCGCCCGAAGCCAUUAGGCCGAGGGCACGCCUGCCUGGGUGUCACACAUCGUUUCCCCAACGCAAACAUGUAACAAUGUUGCUGCGCGGGGUGUAUGCAGACUGCCAACGACCUCGUGCCUCGCAUCCGGGACGUGUUUGAUCAUACACGGUAUGAACUUGACCUCCCGGACCUGCGACAAAGGGGCACCGGGGACUGUCGGCCCGCAGCAGCCCUGAUGGAACGACUCCCCAUCCAACGGAGCCAAGAACACUCACAACUGCGACCUCAGAUCAGGUAAGAUUACCCGCUGAAUUUAA